UGCUGGUGGAACGCGCCGUGGUGCGCGCCGUACAGAAUCUCCGUGGACGCGCCGCUCAAGCCCGUGCACAGCGGCUCAUGGUUGCUCAGGACCGUGGACAGAUAUUUGGCCUCCUCCACGUUGAAGCAAAACAAAGCAUGUGAAAUCUUUUUGUGACAAGUGCAGAGCAUAUGAAUUAUUCAUGAGGUACUCUAUGGGGUCAUGAUGGUUCCCGCUCAGCGAUGUCAUCAACCUGUAGUUCGACUAGCCGCUCCGCUGCCUUCCAGUCACACUAGGGUAAAACCCCUCUGACAAGCGUCAUUCAAUUUUAUCUGCCCACGGCCCGUAGCGACACCUUACCAGAAAUGACAGCUGAACACUCCCCCCGACGGCCCACGUUUCUCAGGCAGGCCUCAACCAAAAAACAUGGCAUGAGUAGACACUACAGGAAACGUGUAAUACAGAGGGAAAUUUCAGCUUCCUGUUUAUCAAGUAUAGCGGCGAAGAGCGAAACCACAUACUACCUUAGUCUACCUUACCCAGAAUGAGUACAUGAGUUUCCUCUAUAUAAUUUUCAACUUUGGACUUGUGUUUUUGUUUGUCAGGAGCAGAUUAUGAAUGUGCUAGUAUAUCAUAUCAUUGAAUUAUUAUAAUUC